AGAGUUUGAUCCUGGCUCAGGACGAACGCUGGCGGCGCGCCUAACACAUGCAAGUCGAACGGAGCUUAGAGAGCUUGCUUUUUAAGCUUAGUGGCGAACGGGUGAGUAACGCGUGAGUAACCUGCCCUAGAGUGGGGGACAACAGUUGGAAACGACUGCUAAUACCGCAUAAGCCCACGGUACCGCAUGGCACUGAGGGAAAAGGAUUUAUUCGCUUUAGGAUGGACUCGCGUCCAAUUAGCUAGUUGGUGAGGUAACGGCCCACCAAGGCGACGAUUGGUAGCCGGACUGAGAGGUUGAACGGCCACAUUGGGACUGAGACACGGCCCAGACUCCUACGGGAGGCAGCAGUGGGGGAUAUUGCACAAUGGGGGAAACCCUGAUGCAGCGACGCCGCGUGGAGGAAGAAGGUUUUCGGAUUGUAAACUCCUGUCGUUAGGGACGAUAAUGACGGUACCUAACAAGAAAGCACCGGCUAACUACGUGCCAGCAGCCGCGGUAAAACGUAGGGUGCAAGCGUUGUCCGGAAUUACUGGGUGUAAAGGGAGCGCAGGCGGGAAGACAAGUUGGAAGUGAAAACCAUGGGCUCAACCCAUGAAUUGCUUUCAAAACUGUUUUUCUUGAGUAGUGCAGAGGUAGAUGGAAUUCCCGGUGUAGCGGUGGAAUGCGUAGAUAUCGGGAGGAACACCAGUGGCGAAGGCGGUCUACUGGGCACCAACUGACGCUGAGGCUCGAAAGCAUGGGUAGCAAACAGGAUUAGAUACCCUGGUAGUCCAUGCCGUAAACGAUGAUUACUAGGUGUUGGGGGAUUGACCCCCUCAGUGCCGCAGUUAACACAAUAAGUAAUCCACCUGGGGAGUACGACCGCAAGGUUGAAACUCAAAGGAAUUGACGGGGGCCCGCACAAGCAGUGGAGUAUGUGGUUUAAUUCGAAGCAACGCGAAGAACCUUACCAGGUCUUGACAUCCGAUGCAUAACACAGAAGAUGUGUGAAAUCCUUCGGGACAUCCAGACAAGGUGGGCCAUGGUUUUCCUCACCUCCGGUCCUGAAAAUUUUGGGUUAAAUCCCCGCAACAAGGCCAACCCUUUUUUGCCAUUUUCUACUUUAAGAAGACUCUGGCGAGAAUCGCCUUUAAAAAACCGAGAGAAGGGGGGGGUAAACCCAAAAUAAAAUGGCCCUUUAAGACCGGGGGCACACCCGUUUAAAAAGGGGGUUAAAAAAAGAGAAGAAAACCGCGAGGUGGAGCAAAACUCAAAAACAACGUCUCAGUUCAGAUUGCAGGCUGCAACUCGCCUGCAUGAAGUCGGAAUUGCUAGUAAUCGCGGAUCAGCAUGCCGCGGUGAAUACGUUCCCGGGCCUUGCACACACCGCCCGUC
rnacentral:rRNA from 1 species